rnacentral:rRNA from 1 species
AUUGAACGCUGGCGGCAUGCCUUACACAUGCAAGUCGAACGGUAACAGGUCUUCGGAUGCUGACGAGUGGCGAACGGGUGAGUAAUACAUCGGAACGCGCCCGAUCGUGGGGGAUAACGCAGCGAAAGCUGUGCUAAUACCGCAUACGAUCUACGGAUGAAAGCGGGGGAUCGCAAGACCUCGCGCGGACGGAGCGGCCGAUGGCAGAUUAGGUAGUUGGUGGGAUAAAAGCUUACCAAGCCGACGAUCUGUAGCUGGUCUGAGAGGACGACCAGCCACACUGGGACUGAGACACGGCCCAGACUCCUACGGGAGGCAGCAGUGGGGAAUUUUGGACAAUGGGCGCAAGCCUGAUCCAGCCAUGCCGCGUGCAGGAUGAAGGCCUUCGGGUUGUAAACUGCUUUUGUACGGAACGAAAAAGUUCUCUCUAAUACAGGGGGCGAAUGACGGUACCGUAAGAAUAAGCACCGGCUAACUACGUGCCAGCAGCCGCCGCAGUAA